rnacentral:lncRNA from 1 species
ACCCAAGUCAAGAUCCUCCAUUACCUCGGGAAUCAAGCAGAAGACCAAGGAAGAGUAACGUAGGUGGGGGGAGAGAUGGCGGAGAGAAAGAUGGCCAAAAGUUGACGAGGAACACUCGCUAAAAGCCAGCCAGGAAGGAUGCGUGUUUUAGACGGUUCCUCUCUCCAUCUCCAACUCUAAGACGCCCGUUAUUCCCCCAUGGUCUUCCCUCCCAGGUUAUAACGCAUGUGGUCAGUCUAUGGAGAAGAAUCCCCCCCUCCACCACCCCCACCCCCCCACCUCCCCUACACACACGCACACACAACAC